rnacentral:rRNA from 1 species
AUGGGGACGUCGGAUCUGGACCGGCAGAUCGAGCAGCUCAAGCGGUGCGAGCCGCUGGCGGAGGCGGAGGUCAAGGCGCUCUGCCUCAAGGCCAUGGAGAUCCUCGUCGAGGAGAGCAACGUCCAGCGCGUCGACGCCCCCGUCACGAUAUGUGGAGACAUUCAUGGACAGUUCUACGACAUGAAAGAACUUUUCAAAGUUGGUGGUGACUGCCCAAAGACAAACUACCUGUUCCUUGGGGAUUUUGUUGACCGAGGAUUUUAUUCUGUUGAAACAUUUUUGCUUCUUUUGGCCUUAAAGGUUAGGUACCCAGAUCGUAUAACUUUAAUACGAGGAAAUCAUGAGAGCAGGCAGAUCACACAAGUUUAUGGCUUCUAUGAUGAGUGUCUUCGUAAAUAUGGCUCGGUGAAUGUCUGGAGAUAUUGCACAGAAAUAUUUGACUAUUUAAGUUUGUCUGCACUUAUUGAGAACAAAAUCUUCAGUGUCCAUGGAGGCCUUUCCCCUGCUAUUACGACACUGGAUCAGAUCAGAGUAAUAGACCGCAAGCAAGAAGUGCCUCAUGAUGGUGCCAUGUGUGACCUUCUUUGGUCUGAUCCAGAGGAUGCUGUAGACGGCUGGGGAUUAAGUCCUCGAGGUGCAGGGUUCCUCUUUGGUGGAAACGUCGUCUCUUCAUUUAACCACUCAAACAACAUAGAUUAUAUUUGCCGUGCUCAUCAACUAGUCAUGGAAGGAUUCAAGUGGAUGUUCAAUAACAAGAUUGUUACUGUAUGGUCUGCUCCUAACUAUUGCUACAGGUGUGGCAAUGUUGCUGCAAUCCUAGAGCUUGAUGAGAACCUGAAUAAGCAGUUCCGUGUAUUUGAAGCUGCUCCACAUGAAUCAAGAGGUGUUCCUGCCAAGAGGCCUGCCCCAGAUUACUUUCUUUGA